GACGAACGCUGGCGGCGUGCUUAACACAUGCAAGUCGAACGGAAAGGCCCUGCUUGCCGGGUACUCGAGUGACGAACGGGUGAGUAACACGUGGGUGAUCUGCCCUGCACUUCGGGAUAAGCCUGGGAAACUGGGUCUAAUACCGGAUAGGAGCCAUUUUUAGUGUGAUGGUUGGAAAGUUUUUUCGGUGUAGGAUGAGCUCGCGGCCUAUCAGCUUGUUGGUGGGGUAAUGGCCUACCAAGGCGGCGACGGGUAGCCGGCCUGAGAGGGUGGACGGCCACAUUGGGACUGAGAUACGGCCCAGACUCCUACGGGAGGCAGCAGUGGGGAAUAUUGCACAAGGGGCGCAAGCCUGAUGCAGCGACGCCGCGUGGGGGAUGACGGCCUUCGGGUUGUAAACUCCUUUCGCUAGGGACGAAGCUUUUUGUGACGGUACCUAGAUAAGAAGCACCGGCUAACUACGUG
rnacentral:rRNA from 1 species